UUACAACACUCUGUUUCAUAACUUGAUUACAGAUUUAAGCUUCCAGGCAUGCACCUAAGAACCAGACAUGGCACCAAUGAGCAUUGAUAUAUUAGCAAAUAUAUUCCUUAAAUUCAGAGGUGAUAAAAAAAGAACACCCAUUUAGUUACCAUUUCUACAAUGGUUUGGGAAUUAGCAAGUGUGGAAGUUCUAUUUCUGUAAAGACUCUUGAUCAAAUGCAUUUCUCCCAGAAAGAUAAAAUUGGUACCAUCAAGAGUUCAAGACCAUUGGAGCAUAGAAUAUCAUGAAAACACCUUUAUACUAUGGAAAUAAGCACCUUCUCCCCUUAAUACAUGGUUAUAUUUGUUCUUCUUCUCCUGUGUCAGAUCGUAAUUCAUUUAAUCAUAACCUUUAUAGUAUGGAAUAGUAAUAAUCAGGCUCAACAUCCGAUGUAGUUGGACUAAAUAAGGUACCAUUAGUUUUCCCAUGAAAAAUAGGCAAGCCAUAUUAGAUUUUUGAAAUAAAAAAGGCAAAACCUGCAGCAAGCAUGUUCGUCUGCAUCAUCUUGUGGUCCUUUAUCAUCGAGAUAAUACCCAUACGCAUAUGUGCAUUGCAGCACUUGUAUGCAUUCUAUGAUCUGUCGUAGUGAAGGAUGAUAGGGUAGGCGUGUCAGAAAAAGGAAGGCUAUAUUAAGCAUAGAACCAGUUUAUGGGCAUCAUAAGAUAUUUAGCCUAUGACCAAGCUUCAGGUAUGAACUUUAGUUCAGUCUCUGGUAUUCCAAGGAUAUCACUUAACUUCGUAAGCUAGAUGAGAACAAAUAGCCAAUCGGCAGCGCCGCUGAAUUAUGAGCCUCAAUUAGGCAGCGCCGCUGAACUCUACACCGUGCGAUCCUGCGUCAUUUAAUAAUAUAAUUGUAUAAGCAUGCUAGAAAGAAGCUAGCAAAUUAUCUGUUUAUCAUUCCUCUAAUCCUUGAGGCAUUUAGGCAGUCAGGCAAAAUUUGGAACUGAAUACUGCAUGCAGCAAUUUAAUAGUGUACCUAUGGAGACAAGCUAAGAGCCAAUGUAACAAAACACACAAUAGAUUUACAAAGUACUACAGAUCACCUGAAAGUUUGCCAAAUAACAGGCACACCAAAUUGUAAGCAGAGCUGGUAAUUCCUCUGUCAAACUAACAGAACACACGAGAGGAGUAAGCCAUUGCCCAGCAAAUUUACCUCGAGGGAUAGAAUAGAACAACUCCCGCAAAGGUAAAAAAAGAUAAAACAAGAACAGAGUCAGUCAUGAACAGAACAUGCAAAGGAAUAGAUUUACCAGCAUGGAAGAGACCUUUACACAAAAGAAAUAACUCACCCACGUACAUUUGCUUCCCAAACACAAACAACAGAGCAUGCAAUUGAAUUCAGUCAGCCGCGAGCUCGCCUUCUCUCCCGUGCUCUCCCCUCCCUCGGUCCCCUUCUUCCCUCCCGACCGACGGAGCCAUCCAGUGGCGGCGGCGGCGGUGGCGGCAUGGGCCUGAUGCGACCACGCAGCAGUCAAACAAACUUUUGCAAGAAAAGAAACAUUUCUAAUCGAUUGAAGUGUGACCUUAUUUCUACAAAGAAGGUGUAAUCUGUAAGCAUCACCAAAGGAAACAUCAGACGAACAAAACAAACGAAAGGCCACGAUAGGAAGUUAAAAAAUUGAAUUCAGUGUGCGGAAUAUAUGUUUAUACACCCAGACCAGAAUCUGAGAAUAUAGUUUGCAGCCAUAAAUGCAAUAAACGGAAGGAAAAACAUAAGAUUUGGUACAUCCUUGACAAACUAUUCAUGUGUGCCAUCUUGGCCAAAAACAUAGGAAAUCAUGAUCCUCGAAAUGAUAACUUUUGAAGUCCUAAAGCUCGCUAAGAUGGUUAAUAAGCAUAGAGCCAGAGUCAAGGCACAAAGAAAUAUCUGCAACGUAAAGCAUGUCAUCCUUUAUUUCUACACCAAAGUAUACUACUGCCGUAGUACUGCGCCGUCAAAUUACUAGUGAAGAAAUCAUUGAAGCAUGAAUCACACAAACCAAACAAUACUAAGCAAGGGAUAAUUAAGGUCUAAAAUGCAUGCACAUACCUCUGCUUAUAGAAGUGUCUCUUACAACACUCUAUUUCAUAACUUGAUUACAGAUUUAAGCUUCCAGGCAUGCACCUAAGAACCAGACAUGGCACCAAUGAGCAUUGAUAUAUUAACAAAUAUAUUCCUUAAAUUCAGAGGUGAUAAAAAAAGAACACCCAUUCAGUUACCAUUUCUACAAUGGUUUGGGAAUUAGCAAGUGUGGAAGUUCUAUUUCUGUAAAGACUCUUGAUCAAAUGCAUUUCUCCCAGAAAGAUAAAAUUGGUACCAUCAAGAGUUCAAGACCAUUGGAGCACAGAAUAUCAUGAAAACACCUUUAUACUAUGGAAAUAAGCACCUUCUCCCCUUAAUACAUGGUUAUAUUUGUU
rnacentral:lncRNA from 1 species